CCUAUAGAAAGAUGGAAACUGAGAAGGCUAAAAGACAGAUGCUGAGUACCCUCAUGUUCAUUGAGGGUAAUGUUUUUGUAUUCAUUGCCACUUCUGCUUCUGAAAGCCAUUGAAUGUGCAUUUCAUGUCUGAUACUGGGCAAGCUAUGGUCUGAAAUUCUCCUGAAUAGUGGCUUCUUUCAUGUUCUGCCUGCAGUAGGAACAAUG
rnacentral:lncRNA from 1 species